rnacentral:ribozyme from 1 species
UCGGGUCGGCAUGGCAUCUCCACCUCCACCUCCUCGCGGUCCGACCUGGGCAUCCGAAGGAGGAGCGGACGUCCACUCGGAUGGCUAAGGGAGAGCCCAG